GGCCUCCCAAUUCUUACCACAGGCUGUUCUUUACACUGACUGUAUAGAAAGAGGAGAUACAGUAAAUAUACCCCAUAUACACCUCAAUACAGGCCUUUUGCCUGGUCUGUAUUGUGAAUUGGUGGACAGAA